rnacentral:rRNA from 1 species
UACGGGGGGAGCAAGCGUUGUUCGGAUUUACUGGGCGUAAAGGGCGCGUAGGCGGUCGUGACAAGUCACUUGUGAAAUCUCCGGGCUUAACUCGGAACGGUCAAGUGAUACUGUCGGACUAGAGUACAGAAGGGGCAACUGGAAUUCUCGGUGUAGAGGUGAAAUUCGUAGAUAUUCGGAAGAACACCAGUGGCGAAGGCGGCUCACUGGACCGGUAUUGACGCUGAGGUGCGAAAGCGUGGGGAGCAAACAGG